CUUUCUAGUGCGAAGAAGCGAGUCGUUCGACAUCGUAGAGCUUCUCUCCUCUGUCUGCUUCAGCCGCAGUCGCCGCCACUGCCUGAGGAAGCUUCGGCCGUAUCUGGGCCAGUCGCAUUUCCAGAGAGAUUUUCAUGCAAGAUGCAUGUUGGAUUUGCUCCAAUGGUAGGCGUUUGUUGUCGCAAUCCCCCAUGGCUGUGGGUCCCAAAGUAGCUGGCUGUACUGGGAAGGAAAAAAUGGCCUUCAUAUAGAUAUGAGAAUAUCUGUUAUUGCAGAUCUUAAAGGCUUGAUUCCCGACAGAGUUGAAAGUUUUACUUGCCAGGCUAGAUAAUUGACUACUGCCUAUCAAUAACCACGGUUGGUGAUGAAGCCAAGAAGGGUAGCGUUGCCUCCUAAACAAAUUUAUCGAUAUUUUUUUUUAAGCUAAUUGUUCAUUCUAAUUCAUGUUUUCCACAUUGAACAACAGUGAAAUCAGACUCAAAAACUGUUCUGGGUUUGCUCUGUUCUCGGUAUCUGGUGAGUUGUUCACUACACUGCUGCAGAGUUGUCUUUUGGGAAAUCUGCAAAAGAGGGUUUUUGUGUGUUUUCGUGUUGGGUUUUUUGUUCUUGUUUGGUUUUUUGGGUGAAAGCAAUCAUGGUGUAGGAUUUAUUGUAGGUUUCCUCAAAAGGGAAUCAUCACCCACUCAAAUCACGAAGCGAAUGUGCUUUUGAAGUUGUGCUCU